GCAUGCAUCUCUUAAUGCAAUUUGGAAAAGUAUAAAUUUCCUACGUUUAAAUCCUUCCAGUUUCUUUCUUUCUCGCCUGGUGAGCAGAGCAGUUUUUCUGCCACUUCAAAGCGAGAGGCAGGUAUCCAAAUCCAUCCCUUUUCUCAGCCGCAGAUAUUAUUAUAUUUUGCACUGCCAGGCUAUUGGCGAGAUUAUGACAUCCUGCGGCGCGGCUAUUCCAAACAAUACGGCCACGUUUGCCGCCUGACAAUUGGGGAGUUUCCAGCAGGGGACGCUAUGACCGUAUCAUCGUGCGCCGGCGCCUUGCACCGCUACCGCCACCAUGGAAUCCAACAGGGACGAAGCGGAGCGUUGUAUUGUUAUCGCGGUAGCCGCCAUCAAGGCCAACCAAACGGAGAAGGCCCGCCGUUUUUUGGAGAAGGCCCAGCGGCUGUACCCGUCUCAGCGGGUCGGCGCACUGUUGGACUCGCUCACCAAGAGCAAACAGUCAGCCGAUGACCAUUCGCAGCCCAAGGAAUCCUACAACCUCGGCAGUCAAAAAAGGACCGAGGAUUUUGCUUCGGCCAAUGGAGAAGCCGGGGGUGAUACCAGCAAAGGUUACACUCAGGAUCAAGUAGAUGCAGUGAAGAGGGUGAAACAAUGUAAAGACUAUUAUGAAAUUUUGGGCGUCAGCAGGGAUGCCUCUGAUGAGGAUCUGAAAAAGGCCUACCGGAAACUAGCUCUAAAAUUUCAUCCUGAUAAAAAUCACGCACCAGGUGCCACAGAAGCAUUUAAAGCCAUUGGGAAUGCAUACGCGGUCUUGAGCAAUCCAGAGAAAAGGAAACAGUAUGACCAGUUUGGAGAUGCCAAAGUCAGCUCUACGCGACAUGGUCACGCGGACUUCAACCGAGGCUUUGAGGCAGAUAUUUCUCCAGAAGAUCUCUUCAAUAUGUUCUUUGGUGGUGGUUUUCCCUCUAGUAACGUACAUGUAUAUAGCAAUGGCAGGAUGCGGUAUACCUACCACCAACGGCAAGACAGACGAGAACAUCAAGGCGAUGGUGGCCUUGGGCUGUUUGUCCAGCUGAUGCCUAUCCUCAUUCUCAUCAUUGUGUCUGCCCUCAGCCAGAUGAUGGUCUCCAGUCCACCUUACAGUUUGAGUCACAGACCGUCAGUGGGCCAUGUAUUUAAACGAACCACUGAGCAUUUGAAAGUGUCUUACUAUGUCGGCGACAGCUUUGCAGAAGAAUACACAGGCACGAACCUUAAAAAUGUAGAGAGGAGCGUGGAAGAUGAUUAUAUUGCAAACCUUCGAAAUAACUGUUGGAAAGAAAAACAGCAGAAGGAAGGCUUACUUUACCGGGCCCGUUAUUUUGGUGAUUCAGAUCUGUAUCAGAGAGCGCAGAAGAUGGGCACACCCAGCUGUACCAGGCUGUCUGAAGUUCAAGCAUCAAUGCAUGGAUAGCUGUGGCAGAAACAGUCCAUAGAGACCUAAGUAAGAGCUGGUGAUUUCUAUUUCUGGGACUGGGAAGUUUGGCUUAGGACAGUGAUGGUUAACCUUUUCGGCGCCGAAUGAUGAAACCGGAGCGUAUGCGCAUGGCGGAGCACCGGAACCUGGAGGAGAGCAGCUGGCUGGUGCGCAUGUACAUGCCAGAAUCCAGAAGAAACCAGCUGGCCACUGCGCGCAUGUGCACAACAGAACCAAGAAGAGCAGCUGGCAACGGCCCACAGAGGGGGUUUAGGAAUUCUAAUUUUCCAGCAUAAUUUAGAAUCCAAAGCUACUUUCUUGUUUUGUGCUAAAUCAUGGUUAGUUUUAGCAGCCAAAUAAGCAAGUGUUAGUCUUGCAGACCCAAAAAAAAGAGAGAGAGAUCUCUUUGGUCAUUCUUAGAUCAUCCUCUCCAUUCUUAGCAGCAUUUCUUUUGCAUAUCUCUCUGAAUUAGUUUCAUGCUUGGUUUGGAUACAAAACAAACUGGGAAUAAACAAAAUGCUCCUGUUUACGCAUCAUGCUAAGCCAUAAAUCAGGGGUGUCAAACUCACGGCCCGUGGGCCAGUUACAUCACGUUCUGGUCAUGCCCAUCCCCGGUUUAGCGAAGGGGGGAAAAAGUCACGAUAUGUCACCUGACGACAACGUGACGCUGCGAGUUGGACACCCCUGCCAUAGAUUCGGUUUGAAAGCCAACAUGAAUCAUGGUUGCAAUGGUUUAUUGCCCCAAACCCGUUUUUUAAUUCACUGACCCCAUUUGCCUGUUAUGUUAAGACAAAAAAAUUAGAUGGCAUAACAAACCAACCCCAACGCGUGACUUCCUAUACGGUCUCUGGUCCCUCUCGAUGCUCAUGUGCUCUUGAUCAUCAUCCCUUUGCCAGGGCAUUUAGCUUAAAUUAAAUAGUUGCACUUUCCCUACUCUCAGCAAUGUCUCUGGUUGGUGGCAGAUGGAGUGGAUUCCAAAAACUGGAAUUCUGAAACUAAGUUUUGAACGCCUCAAAUGGAAGUCUUUCUAGGAGAUGGGUGUCAAACUAACGGUGUCACAUUGACGUUUCGUGACAUUUUCCCCCUUCGUGGAGCUGGGGUGGGCGUGGCCUGUGUGUGAUGCAUCCGGCCCACGGGCAGCCAGUUUGACACCCCUGCUCCAGGAUGUUAACCCCACUAGUUAAUGGGACUAAGAUGGCGGUUUAGGUGCAUUUAUGAGUUGGAUGUUUUGGCUUAGCCUGUAAUGCAGAGAUAGCCUGCAAGAUUUUAGGCAGCAUGAAUGGCAGUUGUACUAGAAUCUUCCAGGGCUCUGCCCUCCCUCCCAACUGGAGCUGAGCCAGAUUAAUGACCAUUGUUCGGGUGUAAGCAGGCUAAAAACUAACUGAUCUCUAGUCGCACAACUUUCCGUUCUUUUUCUUUCUAUGGUGUAUGUUUUAUUUUGAAUGUGAAAAGAAAGAGUUAGAAUGCAACUGGGGUGUAUUUGACAUAAUGGUCUUCCAUGCUAAACAUACACCUUCCCCCCUUCCUUCUGGAACAGGUUUGACUUGAAUUUCAGGUGAUCCAUCCCAACUAUAGCUAUGCUUCCUCGACUCUUCAAAUGCCUGAAGACUUUGGGGGAAGUGCACUGAGCCAAGGAGACAGACUUUCUAUUUAAAGAAUCAGUCCUUAAAUUAAAAUGGCAUUGGAGUAUUAACAACGCACAACUGCCCUCUCCUCUCUUUCUCUGUCCAGCAUUAGACUUGAACAUCUCUUAAGGAGGGAAAAGACGGCUGGUCUUUUUUUUUUCCUCUCUCCCUUCCUCCAAAAGAUCCCAUCCCCCACCCAUCCCCCAUCCCCCAACAGUUGUUGAGUUGCUUUGGUUUCCUUUCGAGAUCUUCAGAAAAUCAGGAGCAGUGGAGAAAGUUCUGCAAUUGCACUAGUCACUUCAGAGAGCAAGGGAGGAACUGGAAGAGCUAGAAAUUAAAACAAAAUUAAUUUUAAAAGACACUAUUUAGAAUUUAACUCACCAUUGUAAAUAUGUUGUACUUCUAAACUAUGCAGGGAUAGAAUUAAAUUAUUUCAAUUUUUUUUCCCCUUUUCCUUUUCCUUUUCUUUUCCUUUUUUUGCUGAACUUCAUAAUUUACUAUCUCUGAAUUCUAGCUUCUUUUUUCUUUUUUCCGGGCCCUGGUUCCCUUUUCUGGCCCAAUGUCCUGUUUUCUAUCAAUGGCAAUCUUAUCUGACAAUACAAAUGUUUUAUAUUUUAUAAUGGCUUGGACUUUCUGGGGUGGGUGGGGGAGAAACAAAAGUAAAUUUACAAACCCUGAAACUCUUUCCUUUUCUAAAUGUGAAAUACUGAGCCCAGCAGAUAUAUUUUCUACGGACAUGUUUUGGAUUUUGCGACAUACGGCGGUUUUGCUCAACAACUCGUUCUUCCUAAUAAACGGAGAACAAAUGGUCUCAAAUUAUCUCAAAAUGAUCUUCAGUUCACCAGGAGGGCUUUUGCUUUGUGGACUUUAUUAUUAUUAUUUUGUUAGGUAUUGCAGACUUUAUUUUUUUGCCUUGCAAUCAGGGUUCAUUUUGCUACCCAGAAGUGCGCUAUUCUUUCUUUUUCCCCCCAAGUGAUAUGCCCAUCUGCCUUUUCUGCUGCUCCCCAAUCGGAUUUCCUCUUCCUCUACAAAAUAGUUUUUCUUUGUCAAAAUGUUGCCGCUGUUUUCAUUCCAGGAACCUGCUGUGCGCCGGUGCGGCCUACCAAGCAAUGAUGUAGCUACAUGCUUUUCCAUUUGGUGAGACUUGGAUGGCCCUUCUCUAUAGAGCAGGGCUGUCUAAGCUUGGCAACUUUAAGAUUUGUGGACUUCAGCACCCAGAAUUCUCCACACUGGUUGGGGAAUUCUGGGAGUUGAAGUACAGAAGUCUUAAAAGUUGCCAAAUGUGGAGACCCUGCCUUCUCUAGAAGUAAGGAAAGGCUGUGUAGCAACAAUGCUUGUAGACUGGUGAGAAUCUUCCUCAAGAGAACGGGACUUAUGUCCUCUUCCUCAGGACAUCCUUGUCCAAUCAGCUUUUGCUACUUUCCAUUAUUUAAGCAACCGAAAGAGGCAAAGAAUAAUUCUUAUUACUUGACUGGGCUGUGAAGGCCAACCUUUCGUUUGGAAAAAAAAAAGCUACAUAAUGCCAGACUUUUUUUUAUCUUUUAAGUCCAUACAAUGCUGUCAAAAGAGCCUUAAAAGAAGUUACUUCAAAGAGCUGAGCCAUUCACCAGAGUUAACAGUUAAUGCUCCUAGUACCAAUAAGCCUCAUCCUCUUGAAUUAGCAGUAAUAUGAAGAUACUUCCACCUCUGCAAGAGGUUUUGUGUUUUCAUUAGUCAAAAAAAAAAAAAAGGAUUCCUUUUGCAGGCAUGGAUCUACUCCUACCAUCAAAGCAAAUCAGCCAUCAGGAUCAGGGUAAUACGUUAAGAAAUGGCUUAGUUAUGCCAAGGAAGUAGCAUUACCAUUAAUUACUUCACACUGGAACCUUCUUUAUGUUGCUGUUAGUUUUGUCCAGAAACCUUUAUGUUAUUUUGUUGGCGAACAUCCAUCUAAAGACUUGUUCAGAAUUGUUUGUGUACCAGAUAAGAGCUGAUGGAUUAGGGGUGGUCUAAUAAUUGCGUUAUUUCUUUGGCAUCGACAAAAUGGAUCUUGAUUUGAACUGAGUUGCUGGGUUCCCCCUUUUUUCCUGUCAUAAGUGGCCAUCUUAAUGGACAAAUCCACAACAUCUGUCGGCAGUCCCAAGGAGCUGCCUCCACCCUCCGUUGUCCCGGGAGAACAGAUCGUGGCUCAAAACCUCAGCUCUCCUGAUUCGCAUUCAGUGAUCCCUCUGGCCAUUUUGAAGGAUCGCUUGCCCAGCGGCACGGCGCAAAAUUACCAGCUUGCAAGAUGGCAACAGGCGCCCCAGGCCAUAACAAAUCGGAUCUUUUUUUGAUUUUCCUAAGUAGAUAGCUGGGGAUGAAUGAGCAACGUGCAAUAAAAAAAGCAUAGGUCUUGAAAGAUAUUGAAGAAGGCUGUAUUUCUUAAUAAUAUAAUUGUACAUCUAUAAAUAAAGAUUUAUAAAAUGAAA